rnacentral:rRNA from 1 species
GAUGAACGCUAGCUACAGGCUUAACACAUGCAAGUCGAGGGGCAGCAUGGUCUUAGCUUGCUAAGGCCGAUGGCGACCGGCGCACGGGUGAGUAACACGUAUCCAACCUGCCGUCUACUCUUGGACAGCCUUCUGAAAGGAAGAUUAAUACAAGAUGGCAUCAUGAGUCCGCAUGUUCACAUGAUUAAAGGUAUUCCGGUAGACGAUGGGGAUGCGUUCCAUUAGAUAGUAGGCGGGGUAACGGCCCACCUAGUCUUCGAUGGAUAGGGGUUCUGAGAGGAAGGUCCCCCACAUUGGAACUGAGACACGGUCCAAACUCCUGCGGGAGGCAGCAGUGAGGAAUAUUGGUCAAUGGGCGCAGGCCUGAACCAGCCAAGUAGCGUGAAGGAUGACUGCCCUAUGGGUUGUAAACUUCUUUUAGAAAGGAAUAAAGUCGGGUAUGUAUACCCGUUUGCAUGUACUUUAUGAAUAAGGAUCGGCUAACUCCGUG